AGUGAACGCUGGCGGUAGGCCUAACACAUGCAAGUCGAACGGCAGCACAGUAAGAGCUUGCUCUUACGGGUGGCGAGUGGCGGACGAGUGAGGAAUACAUCGGAAUCUACUUUUUCGUGGGGGAUAACGUAGGGAAACUUACGCUAAUACCGCAUACGACCUACGGGUGAGAGCAGGGGAUCUUCGGACCUUGCGCGAUUGAAUGAGCCGAUGUCGGAUUAGCUAGUUGGCGGGGUAAAGGCCCACCAAGGCGACGAUCCGUAGCUGGUCUGAGAGGAUGAUCAGCCACACUGGAACUGAGACACGGUCCAGACUCCUACGGGAGGCAGCAGUGGGGAAUAUUGGACAAUGGGCGCAAGCCUGAUCCAGCCAUACCGCGUGGGUGAAGAAGGCCUUCGGGUUGUAAAGCCCUUUUGUUGGGAAAGAAAAGCAGCAGGUUAAUACCCCGCUGUUCUGACGGUACCCAAAGAAUAAGCACCGGCUAACUUCGUG
rnacentral:rRNA from 1 species